rnacentral:tRNA from 1 species
UUAAAUGGCUGAAGUUUAGGCGAUAGACUGUAAAUCUACUCAUAAGAAUUUAUUCUUUUUAAUCA